UACGUAGGGUGCAAGCGUUUAAUCGGAAUUACUGGGCGUAAAGCGUGCGCAGGCGGCUAUGUAAGACAGAUGUGAAAUCCCCGGGCUCAACCUGGGAACUGCAUUGUGACUGCAUCGCUGGAGUACGGCAGAGGGGGAUGGAAUUCCGCGUGUAGCAGUGAAAUGCGUAGAUAUGCGGAGGAACACCGAUGGCGAAGGCAAUCCCCUGGGCCUGUACUGACGCUCAUGCACGAAAGCGUGGGGAGCAAACAGG
rnacentral:rRNA from 1 species